rnacentral:rRNA from 1 species
UUCUGGCUCAGGAUGAACGCUGGCGGCAUGCCUAAUACAUGCAAGUCGAACGGGAGUGCUUGCACUCCAGUGGCGAACGGGUGAGUAAUACAUAGGUAACCUGUCCUUAAGACGAGGAUAGCUUCUAGAAAUGGAAGAUAAAACUGGAUAGGACAUCACAAAUCACAUGAUUAGAUGUUUAAAAGAGCAAUCUACUUAAGGAGGGGCCUGUGGCGCAUUAGCCAGAUGGCGGGGUAAUGGCCCACCAUAGCGAUGAUGCGUAGCCGGUCUGAGAGGACGAACGGCCACAUUGGGACUGAGACACGGCCCAGACUCCUACGGGAGGCAGCAGUAGGGAGUUUUCGGCAAUGGGCGGAAGCCCUGACCGAGCAAUGCCGCGUGAAUGAAGAAGUAUUUCGGUAUGUAAAGUUCUUUUAUUUGGGACGAAAAAACAAAUUGACGGUACCAAAUGAAUAAGCCCCGGCUAACUAUGUGCCAGCCGCGGC